CCUACGGGUGGCAGCAGUGGGGAAUAUUGCACAAUGGGGGAAACCCUGAUGCAGCGACGCCGCGUGAGUGAAGAAGGAUUUCGGUAUGUAAAGCCCUAUUGGCAGGGAAGAAAAUGACGGUACCUGAUUAAGAAGCCCCGGCUAACUACGUGCCAGCAGCCGCGGUAAUACGUAGGGGGCAAGCGUUAUCCGGAUUUACUGGGGGUAAAGGGGGCGUAGACGGGAGAACAAGUCAGGAGUGAAAUGCCGGGGCUUAACCCGGGAACUGCAUUUGAAACCGGUCAGCUAGAGUGCAGGAGAGGUAGGUGGAAGUCGUGGUGUAGCGGUGAAAUGCGUAGAUAUUAGGAGGAACACCAAUGGCGAAGGCGGCUUGCUGGACUGUAACUGACGUUGAGGCUCGAAGGCGUGGGGAGCAAACAGGAUUAGAUACCCGUGUAGUC
rnacentral:rRNA from 1 species